rnacentral:tRNA from 1 species
GGGAAAGUAGCUCAGUGGUAGAGUGCUUGCCUUGCAUGCAUGAGGCCCUGGGUUCCAUUCCUCAGCACCA